rnacentral:rRNA from 2 species
GGACUACUGGGGUAUCUAAUCCUGUUUGAUCCCCACGCUUUCGUGCAUGAGCGUCAAUAUCUGCGUAGUAAGCUGCCUUCGCAAUAGGUGUUCUAUGUCAUAUCUAAGCAUUUCACCGCUACAUGACAUAUUCCGCUUACCUCCACAGCAUUCAAGAUAUAUAGUAUCAACGGCAAUUUCCAGGUUAAGCCUAGAGAUUUCACCACUGACUUACAUAUCCGCCUGCGCACCCUUUAAACCCAGUAAAUCCGGAUAACGCUUGCACCCUCCGUAUUACCGCGGCGGCUGGCAC